rnacentral:rRNA from 1 species
GUGUCAGCCGCCGCGGUAAGACGAACCGUCCAAACGUUAUUCGGAAUUACUGGGCUUAAAGGGUGCGUAGGCGGCGCGGAAAGUAGGGUGUGAAAUCCCUCGGCUCAACCGAGGAACUGCGCCCUAAACUACCGUGCUCGAGGGAGAUAGAGGUGAGCGGAACUUAGGGUGGAGCGGUGAAAUGCGUUGAUAUCCUAAGGAACACCCGUGGCGAAAGCGGCUCACUGGGUCUCUUCUGACGCUGAGGCACGAAAGCUAGGGUAGCGAACGGGAUUAGAUACCCUUGUAGUCC